rnacentral:rRNA from 1 species
GGGGAAUAUUGCACAAUGGGCGCAAGCCUGAUGCAGCCAUGCCGCGUGUAUGAAGAAGGCCUUCGGGUUGUAAAGUACUUUCAGCGAGGAGGAAGGUGCUGAGGUUAAUAACCUCAGCAAUUGACGUUACUCGCAGAAGAAGCACCGGCUAACUCCGUGCCAGCAGCCGCGGUAAUACGGAGGGUGCAAGCGUUAAUCGGAAUUACUGGGCGUAAAGCGCACGCAGGCGGUCUGUCAAGUCGGAUGUGAAAGCCCCGGGCUCAACCUGGGAACUGCAUUCGAAGCUGGCAGGCUAGAGUCUUGUAGAGGGGGGUAGAAUUCCAGGUGUAGCGGUGAAAUGCGUAGAGAUCUGGAGGAAUACCGGUGGCGAAGGCGGCCCCCUGGACAAAGACUGACGCUCAGGUGCGAAAGCGUGGGGAGCAAAC